AAUGAACGCUGGCGGCGCGCCUAAUACACGCAAGUCGAGCGAGAAGACGUAGCAAUACGUUUGUAAAGCGGCGAACGGGUGAGGAAUACAUGGGUAACCUACCCUCGAGUGGGGAAUAACUAGCCGAAAGGUUAGCUAAUACCGCGUACGCUUCUUGGACUUCGGUUCAGGGAGGAAAGCGAUGCCGAGGGUAUCGCGCUCUUGGAUGGGCUCAUGUCCUAUCAGCUUGUUGGUGAGGUAACGGCUCACCAAGGCUUCGACGGGUAGCUGGUCUGAGAGGACGAUCAGCCACACUGGCACUGCGACACGGGCCAGACUCCUACGGGAGGCAGCAGUAAGGAAUAUUGCGCAAUGGGCGAAAGCCUGACGCAGCGACGCCGCGUGGGGGAUGAAGGUCUUCGGAUUGUAAACCCCUUU
rnacentral:rRNA from 1 species